UUGUCCACAGGUAGCUCAGUCAGUAAAGCAUGAGACUCUUAAUCUCAGAGUUGUGGGUUCAAGACCCAUAGUGGGUGAA